rnacentral:tRNA from 2 species
GCCGAGGUGGUGAAAUUGGUAGACACGCUAGCUUCAGGUGCUAGUGGGGGAAACCCCGUGGAAGUUCGAGUCUUCUCCUCGGCACCA